rnacentral:tRNA from 1 species
AUCAGAAUGGCCGACCGGUCUAAGGCGCUGCCUUCAGGUCGCAGUCUACAUUGGAGGUUUGUGUUCAAAUCCCACUUCUGACA